GGGCGGUUCAGCCCGACGUGCCGCGGCUCAAUGCCCACUCAGCCCCGAUCCGACCCCAGCGCCCACGAAGUCAGGCUGGGGCUGACUUCCACACCGCCCCGUCGCUUCUCUCCAGGACUGCUAAAUGAAAUUCGUUUCACGUAUAUAUUUAGAGAGUUUUCUCACUGAAAACAAACAGGCAAACAAGCAAACAAAAAAACCUCAAGAAGCUCCGCAGAGCAUAUCCUCCCUCCCCCCUGAGCUUUCGACACCUCGGACUGUUUAGAGAGAGAGAAAAGGGGCCUUUUGGAAAAGUUUUCCUCUGACUGCCACCCGGGUAAGGUGUCCAGAGCCCCCUCCCGCCCUAAUUCCCGGCUAUCUCCCAGGACUCUGUUUAUACCUCGCCGGUAAACGCUGGGUUUUAAAACCUUGUCACUAAUUGAGUGCUAACACUUCAGGUGCUAUAGAUUUGUUAAGAGCCAGUAGUCCAGAAAUAGCCUAUUAGGGUUUCCUUGCUCGAGCUGGUGCCAAUCUCCCCGUUCCCAUAGCGGGACCUCGGCAUCCCCGCGGCUGCCCGGGGCUGGGAGAGCUCUGCAUUCCCCCCUCCGCGUUCCUGAGAAGGAAAACGCCUUUGGAGCUGUCCAGGCGCUUCUCCCUGCUGCAGCCACAAUCCCCUCCUUCUCUUGAUCUGGUUCUUUUGGGCCUUUCUUGCUGGAACCGAGCGAGUUCCCAGCGCCCAUUUCCUUCGGGGAGAGCAUCCUCCCGGCCCCAGCGCCUCACCCCGGGGACUGCGCCGGGAAAAAGAGAUUUCUGCCCUUCCGAGCAGGGCAGAGCGCGGCCGGGAAGCACCCGCUUGGGUCUUCUCCCUUAUUUCGGGGCGAUUUCUGCCAAACCCAGUACAAAACUGCUGCGUGAUGUUUCGGUUUUAGAGUCUCCUCUGCUUUUUAGGGAGAAGCGCCCUGGAGACUGCUGGCGGCUGCUCUCCCAUCUCGGUCGGUGACUCGGGAUGGUGACCGGGACAGUGACUCGGGCAGCAGUUGUGGGCUUUCCCUGUUGCCCUCGCUGGGCUCCGUGCCUGGAAUCCGGCAAUUAGGCUGGCUGCUGCUCCGCGCCGCUGGAGCUUUGUUGCCUGCUCCGGGUUCGCUGGUGGGAGAGCAAUAUGGGACUUCGCUCCCGUCUCAGAGUCCGAGCAUUGCCGCAGCGAUCGCUCUUCGGUGCCGCCUCCGGUACGCGCCGUUUACGUGUGCUCGAGUAAAACCUUUUUAGUGGAGUGAGUUAAUUACCGAAGUGCUCGUUCGUUAAGUUUCCAAGGGGAACACGACGCGGUAGUGUUCUUUUAGGGACAGAAAAACUAAAUGAGGGGACUUUCACGUUUAGUAAAUACAACAACGGCUCGACAUGGGAAUCCUGUAGCCAGGGUGCAGCAGCGGUGUCAGUAGAUGGGCAAAAUCGUUUUCAAAACGAUUAUUUUUUUCGCACGCAGCGAGCCGUGGGUUGGUUCGAAGGACAAAGCUGUAACGGCGGCGGCUGCCCAGGCACAGCCCCGACCGCCGGUACCGGGCGGGUAGGAGCCGCCUCGGGGAUUUCAGGGCAUCCGCAGCUUCCUCCUGCCCGUGCAAAUCCGAUCCAUUAUGCGAUGUCACUCCGUGGGACUGCUCCGGGGUUCCAGAGCAGCGGGACACCGCUCCCAUCCCUCCCCGGGCUGGGGCUGCCCUUGGCCCUGCAGGCCGGGCGUGCGGCUCGUGGUGGGGGCACGUUUAACGUGAGAUGGUGUUUGGACAUUAUUUGUCCUAAAAGGCAUUCCCAACUCCCUCCUGCUGUCUCAGCUUCCCGGGGCUCCCAGCAGCCCGCACCCCCAGGAGAACCCCUUCCAGCGCCGAGCCGGGGAGGGGGGAGGAUGAAACCGGUCGAGUUACAGAACCCUGACCCCUACCUCCGCUCCAGCGUCUCCCGGCGAUGUCCCCUCGGCUCCUGCCAGGGCCCGGCUCGUGACCCACAACCGGAGAGGCAUGAAAUCGGCUGCCGAGAGGGCAGGGACGGGCGGUCGGGGGCUCCGCUCUCCCUCC
rnacentral:lncRNA from 1 species